AGUGAACGCUGGCGGCGUGCUUAACACAUGCAAGUCGAACGGACUUUAAGAGCUUGCUCUUAAAGUUAGUGGCGCACGGGUGAGUAACACGUAGACAAUCUGCCCCCUAGUAAGGGACAACAGGUGGAAACGACUGCUAAUACCUUAUACUCCUUCUUGGCAUAAGUCAAGUCGGGAAAGUUUUUUCGCUAUGGGAUGAGACUGCGGUGUAUCAGCUAGUUGGUGAGGUAAUGGCUCACCAAGGCUAUGACGGAUAGCUGGUUUGAGAGGAUGAUCAGCCACACUGGAACUGAGACACGGUCCAGACUCCUACGGAAGGCAGCAGUGGGGAAUUUUACACAAUGGGCGAAAGCCUGAUGUAGCAACGCCGCGUGGAGGAUGACGGAUUUCGGUUUGUAAACUCCUUUUAUAAGGGAAGAAAUUUGACGGUACCUUAUGAAUAAGCACCGGCUAACUCCGUGCCAGCCGCCGCCGUAA
rnacentral:rRNA from 1 species